GCUGUCCGGUUUAUUUUUGCUGUUCGGAUCCCGCAAGGUGAGUUGAAUCAAUCUUGUACGCCUUAGGCGAUGCCCCAGCUUUUUUGAUAUCCGUCGACAUGAUUCCUCACAUAUAAACCAUGCAGCAGCCAUGGACAACCUUCAUCUAAAGAAGCUAUUGUUUGCUCCGGUGGAUUUGAUUUUGUCUUUCCUCUUUUCUAUGGUUGUGAGCAAUGAAAUCCAAUUUGCAUCUCCCUACAUGAUCAAGGCUACGGUGUGAAUUAUGACCAUCCGUCGGAUGAGGACACGAUUGUGGCAGGGAUGUUGGUGGCAUGAAGUUGUAUAGUAGCAGGAUGGUCUAAACUCAGCCACUAGAGAUUUGAGCUACUUUUUGGUCAUUUUCUACUCAAUUCUAGAGUUCUAUUGCAUUAUCAUAAUUUUUCAUAUCUCAGUAAAGUGGAUGUUUUUUAGGUUAAUAGUAAAGUGCAUGUCAGUACCUCCAAAAGGAUUUUUUUCAUGAAAAUUGUUUUUUCAUGAUGGUAAUCAUUUUCAUACAAACUGCUAUAGUUGCUUGCCCUUUUGGCAGCAUUUGCUCAGAAGCUUGACUGCCGAGACUAGACUAGACUAGCUUGAUUUUCUUGAUACAUCUAAAUAUUCCAAUGUGAUAUGUUAAAAAUACAGGGAGGAUAUUUGUUUGGCUUAUGAGGAGAUUUUGGUUAACCAACGUUGACGCUUUCACUCGCUCACCAUGUUCAUUUGGUCUGGAUUACUUCUCUAACAUUUUAAAAAUUGCUACUGUCAAGUUUCAGUUGGCGCGGGUGUACAGCAGAGGUAUAUAUGUGAUAAGGUGCUGUGAUCAUGAGAAAAAGUAAGGAACUGCACAUCUGGGCCUCACAUUAAUUACAAAUGUUCAGUGGCUUACAAAGGGUACAUUUUACCUUGUUUGAAUUUCGAAGAUUUAGGCCAUAUACAUUGGUAUGUGAGACGUUGUGUCUUCCCAUAGAGAUACCAUCUAGAUUUUUAUUUUAUUUUGGAGUUGGAAGAAGGAUGAAUAAGAUGGAAGGAUGCCCCUUAAUCCGUAAGAGAAUACAUUUAGGUCAAAAUAUAAUUCUGUGGCUGAACUUUUACACUGGCCAGGCUUAGGUUUGGGCUGAGCAAAUAGUUUAAUUGGUGUUAAUGAGCCCAACAAAUGCAAGUUCAUCGAUUUCUCAUGAUAUGCUUUUGAUCUUUACCAAAAUAUGCAUUAUACCAUAUUCAUAUGUUUGUUUCCUAUGUCAGGUAUGCCGUACAGAGGGGAUCAAGCUGUAUAUUGCUAUGUGGAAUGCUUUGAUUCGAGGUGCUGUCGGGUUGGGAGCAUGAAACAUGCUCUGUAGUUCUUUGGUUCAAUGCAGGAGGAAGGGAUGUACAUAGACCCGAAGAUCUUUAUUAAGAUCAUCCACGGGUUGUGGAAGCAAGGGGAGUGAGAUUAAAUCAAGAAGUUUUUUGACAAAAUGAGGAUUCAAUGGCUCAAGGAGAGUAAGCCCCAAGCUAGAUCAUUAUUGAUUUCCUUUAGUAGGAUGUCACAUAAUUCAUUUAGAGUGGAGCAGGAAUAUUCAAAAAGGAAAUGUACACCAUAUAUAUUAGUAUAAUACAUCUGACACUUUCUCAUCUUUCACUAAUAGCACAUUGAUCAUACCAUUUGCACAACUCAUUCCGGUGUAAGUCGGGCCAAUUUAGAAAAUAUUUUAAAGCUGAUUCAUACAGGUUAUAGAAGUCAGAGUCAAACAGCAUAAUAAGAUAUUUGUUCGUGCAUAAUUUCUGAUUCAUUUGUCUUCUAAGGAUAAAUGGGACUGCUAUCUAGACUGUACCUUAAAAACUAUUAGACCCUGCUUAUAACUAUUUUUCAUCUUGGCGUGAUUUAUAAGGGAGGCCACGCCAUUUGUUUUUGUUAUCACAGGCCGUGAUGACCCUGAUUCAUUGAUGUAUAGUGUUGUAUGUGGUCAAUUACCUAAGACAGUAGUCACACUUCUCCUGAUUUGCCUUGAUCUGAAAUCUGACUUUUGUAUUGGUUGUAGUCAAUCUGAAUAUUAGUGAGGUACUUUUCCAAUUGUCAUUGUUCAGUUCUCUACAUUAUCAUGCAUUUUCUUUG
rnacentral:lncRNA from 1 species